rnacentral:misc_RNA from 1 species
UCCGCUUUACAGCGGCAGUUUGUUCCGAGUCCCCGACUUUACUCGCUGGUAACAGAACAUGAGGGUUGCGCUCGUUGCGGGACUUAACCCAACAUUUCACAACACGAGCUGACGACAGCCAUGCAGCACCUGUGCUAGCCCCUUACGGACACCGGCUUUCACCGGCUUUAACUAGCAUGUCAAGCCUAGGUAAGGUUCUUCGCGUUGCAUCGAAUUAAGCCACAUGCUCCGCCGCUUGUGCGGGUCUCCGUCAAUUCCUUUGAGUUUUAGCCUUGCGGCCGUACUCCCCAGGCGGGGUGCUUAAUGCGUUAGCUUCGGCACAGAACGGGUUGAAGACCGCCCCACACCUAGCACCCAACGUUUACGGCUGGGACUAC